UUUUCGUUCUGGGAGAAGAGCAGGAUAUGUGAGACUGAAAGAUCCCCGAAGAGAGACCCUUACUCAAGUCUUGGGAAAUCGCGGACCCCAGACACAGAGAGACCA
rnacentral:pre_miRNA from 14 species